UACUGGGUGUAAAGGGAGCGUAGGCGGGCAGGCAAGUCAGGCGUGAAAUAUAUCGGCUCAACCGGUAACGGCGCUUGAAACUGCAGGUCUUGAGUGAAGUAGAGGUUGGCGGAAUUCCUAGUGUAGCGGUGAAAUGCGUAGAUAUUAGGAGGAACACCAGUGGCGAAGGCGGCCAACUGGGCUUUUACUGACGCUGAGGCUCGAAAGUGUGGGGAGCAAACAGGAUUAGAUACCCUGGUAGUCCACACCGUAAACGAUGAUUACUAGGUGUGGGGGGACUGACCCCUUCCGUGCCGGAGUUAACACAAUAAGUAAUCCACCUGGGGAGUACGGCCGCAAGGUUGCAACUCAAA
rnacentral:rRNA from 1 species